rnacentral:lncRNA from 1 species
UGAAGCCCCUUCUUCAAUGGAAGUAGAAAAGGUUAUAGAUGAAACAUCUUUGCCGACGAAGCCAAAGUUUGAGCCUUUGAAGGCUCAUGAGAUGUCUGAUGGUCGAGUUCAAUUUAGGAAGGUUUCGGUUCCACCACAUAGGUAUUCACCUCUCAAGAAAGCGUGGAUGGAUAUUUAGACUCCUAUAUAUGAGCAAAUGAAGAUUGAUAUCCGUAUGAACCUCAAGGGUAGAAAGGUUGAAUUAAAAUAUUAGGAUCUUUUCAAAACAUUAAAAUUGCUAGAGAUUCUCUGUGCAGCCUCAUUUUAGGGUCUCCUGCUGGAAAGGUAUACUCGAAGCUUAAACAAGUUACUGCCAAAUUGGCUGAGAGGUUCUGAUAAUUGUAUUUGUCAUUAUAGCUCCAUUUGAGAUUUGAUGUGCUGAAUUUUUGUGAUUUUAAUUGUCAUUUGCAUUUUUGUCUUGGUGGCCUUGUUGCCACUUGCUGAAACGAUUCAUUAUAAAGAAUAUCAAUGCAUCUGUUGUUUUCUGUUGCAAUUAGAAUUGAUAAUGCUUUCGAUUCAGCGUCUUUUGUUUCAAUUGUUGCUUCCAUUACUACUACUCCUACUCUGAUUACACUAAGGCCAUGUUUGGUAUGAUGUAGUCAACCAUAUAAUGGAAUGAGGAUUACAUUACAUGACUGGUUACAUUGUUUGGUUAGAUUUGUUCUGAAUAAUGUAAUGUAAUUGAGAUUACAUGUGUAAUUUUCAUUAUUUAAUUUGAUGUAAUAUUAAUUACAUUAAAAAACACAUGUAUUGUCCAUUACAUCAAGUACAUGUAAUACCAAUUACAUCAAAGUUACUCCAAUAAAAACUUUACCAUUCAAGGACCACCAUCACCACUAUCGCUCCACCACCAUCACCACAACACCACCACUACAAUCAUUGUUUAACCACUACUCCACCAUCACCACCACCACUCCACCACCACCAUUGCGCCACAACUCUCACCACCCUCACCACCACUAUUGCUCGACCACCACCAUCACUACCACCGUUCCACCACUUCUACCACCAUCAUUGCUCCACCACCUUAACCAUCACCUCCACCACCGUGCCAUUGCCACCACCACCACCGCACCAUCACCCACAUCGUUGCCUCAACCACCAUCGCUACUCCACCACCGCAACCACCAUUACUCCACCUCAGUCACCACCACUCUCACCACCAUCGUUGCUCCACCACAUCACCACCAUCUCACCAUCGCUCCACCACCAUCACCAUUGCUCCACCACCUCCAUCUCAACUACCACCUCCACCUCAACCACCAAUCACGCCACCAUCAACACUCCACCCCCACCACCACCGCUCUAUCACCUCAACCACCAUCGCUCCUCCACAUCAACCACCACCAUUGCUCCAUCACAUCACCACCUUAACCACCACCAUCGGUUCACCACCAUCAUCACUGCUCCACUGCCUCUACCUCAGCCACCUCCACCACCUUAACCACCAUCACCACCACCACAACCAUCACUUCGCACGCCACCACCUCAAUCACUCUACCACCACAACCACUACAUAAUAAAAAUUAUAUUUUUGUGUUUAAUAUGCAACACAAGAUAAAAUUAUAUUUUAUUAUUUUAUUUUAUUAUAGGAAUGAACAGAAUAAAAUGAAAAAUCACUAAAAACAUCAAAAUACCCAAAAUUUUAUAUUGUAAUUUAAUUUACUCAAUGAAAAUAUAUGAAAAAAGUUAAUUUUUAAUGACUUAAUUAACUUUUAUUUUGUUACAUUACAUUCGGGGUGAGCAAAUUCGGUCGAUUUGAUUAAAUUGAUUAGUAAGGUCAAUUCAGUUACUUCGAUUAGUUCAAUUAAUUCAGUCAAUUUGAUUCGAUGAAUAAACGUUCGGUCAAAAGUUCGAUUAAAGAAAAUUAAAAUUCUGGUGAUCGGUUAAAAAUUAAUUUAACCAAAUUAAUCAACUCUCAAAACUACGUCGUCUUGGUUAAGUAGAUAAUAAAAUUCAAAAUUAAAAAUAUUUCAGUUUUUAUUUUGAUUAAGUAGUAAUUAAUAACUUCGGUUAAUUUUUAUUUCGGUUAGAGUCGGUUAAUUAUAUAUUUCAAUUAAAUCCGGUCGGCUAAUUAAGUUUUUAUUUUCUUUAACUUUGGUUCUCAGCCAAAUAAUUUGGUUAAGUUCGGUUAAAAAAAUUAAUUUGGUUAAGUAAAACAAAUUUGAUUAAUUUAUUUCGGUUAAAAAUUUUACUCAAAUUGACCGAAUUGACCAAAUGAUCAUUCCUAAAUUACAUUUUUUUCGGCUUACCUUCUUUUUAUUUUUUUUUUUCAAAUAAAUUUAUGAAUCUAAAUAAUCUUUAAUAGCUUAAUAUAAUGAAUAGUUUUUAAUUCAGAUAUUUUUUUUUAUUUUAAUAAUGACGUAGUGGAGUGGUGUUUGAGGUGGUGGUGGUAUGGUGGUUGUGGUGGUGGUAGUGGUGAUUGGUGGUUAUGAUGGUGGUGGUGGGGGCGGUGUGAUUGGUGGGAGUAGUGUUUUAAUUACAUCACAUUAUAUAUUUACAAACAACAUAAAAAUAGAAUGGUGAUUAUAUUCCAUAAAUUUUAUCUAUUAUAUUACCAAACAUAGUAAUGAAAUCUUAAUUCAAUAUGUUUUUUUUAUAUUCCAUUCUAUUAUAUUUUUUAUGGCAUUAUAUCUUUGAUUAUAUUACAUUGCAUUAUACCAACCAAACAUAGCCUCUGAAUAGAUUAAAAUAUGCAUUGUGUUUUACCUAAUAUAUCCUCAUAUUUAUGAAUUCAGCCUAUUUUGGCAUUUUUUUUUUUAUUUUUCAUAGGACAAUACUCUUUGUUCUCUCAAAAAUUUUAAUCUAGAUAUAAUCCUCAUUUACAUCUUUUGACUAAUAAUUUCAAUUUAUGGAAAUUUCUUUCUUCAUUAGGUAUUGGAAUUCUUUUUACAAAUCUCAUGUUGUUUCCUGCAAUUUUAAAUAUAUAAUUUUAAAAUAUGGAUGUUGACGUGACAAAUGUAACAUUUUAUCUUUUUCUUAUUACAAUUAAUCUUUUUUUAAAAAAAUUUAAUAAGCAUUAAGUUUUUUUCAUUAAAUAAUGAGUUACAAAAUAAUGAAAUCUAAUGGAGUUAUAAUGGAUUCCAUUAUAAUUGAUAUUUUGUUUUGCAUUUAAUAAACAUUAAAUUUUUUUUAAUAAAUAAUAGAAUCAUAAAACUAAUGGAUCAAUAUAAUGGAGUUAUAAUUAAUAAACAUUAAUUAAAUAAUUAAGUUACUGUAAUAUUAUUGUGAACUGGUAUAAUUAAAAUAUAAUUUCAAUUCACUAAAAUUUAUUGGAUUGUAAUUAAAUCUUCUUAUGCCUUAUUUAAUUAUAGAAAAUUAAUAAAUAUUUCAUUUAAAUAUAUGAAAAUUCUAAAGGGAAAAUAAAUAAUUAUAUCAGUUGAAUUACAUAAGAACCAUGUAAUUUCACCUUUCAUCAUUUAAUCAAUUAUAUUAGCAAAUCAUUUAAAUUAAAGCAACAUAAAUAUAAAUCGUAAUAAUUUUCUUAAUAAUUAUCUAUUCAAAUCAAUUAAAAAAAUAUAAAAUUACAAGAUCCGUCCAUGGCGAGUACAUGACUAGUUGGGAUUAUAUAUAUCUGUUGUACAUAAAAGCUAUAUUUUGGUUGCAUAGAGAACAAAUGUCAUGAAUCUCCUAAAAAUUGACUUAAUUAUCACAGAUAAAUUAAAAAGAAGAAUUAAGAAGUACCAGUAAAAAUCUUUCCAAACAUUAUUUACAUGUAAAAUAUAUGCAAUAUAUAUAUAAUUAAGGAGAUGGCAUUAAUACAAUAUAAAUAAUGUAGAAAAUGCAAAUUAUAUAACAAUGUAUGUAAAAAGACAGAAGACUAUAACUAAAUACAUUGAAACUUUCUGCAGUUCAGUCCCGUCCCCGUGAAUAUGGUAGCUGCAACAGAAAUUGGAAAUAACCAAAUGAGAACAAGAAAGCUUCAAAAAUUUAAAUCUCAUUGUUAUGAUUGUAUUGGGAAAUUAAUUGCAUACAAACAUGCAUAAAUGAUAGGCCAAAUGCAUAAAUUUGAUCUUGUAUUUUUGACGAUUAUUCUUGUGGCCCCUUGAACUUUGUGGAGAAUCCAUCGUAACCCUACACUUUCAUAUCAAGAUGCCACAAGGAUAAUUGACCAAAGUUUAUGAUCAAAUUUAUGUAUUAGACUAUAAAUAAUAUGCAGAAGGUAAUUCAUUUAAUUAGUGGGUGGGAUCUAAAAAGGCAGCAAUAAGAAGAGCAUGUGUAAUACUUAAAACCUAAAAGAAUUCUUGCUUAAAUGUUGGAAUAUAUGUACAGUCUGUUGGACAAAAGUAUCUGUUUUAAUAGUAGUUAGUUGUUUUAGUAGCAUUUAACUAUUAGCCAUUUGAGUAGCUUUUUAUGAAAUUCUAAAACUGGUUUAAAUAUUAUAUUACCGAACACUGUAAAAGUUGGAUUAGAUAGUAACUGACAAGUAGUUUAUUUACCUUUGUUUGUAAAAAACUCAUAAGCAUGUAGAGGCAGCAUAACUUCCCAUACAUGGACACUCUACUUUUCUGCUGGAUAGGAAGAAAAAGAUUUCCUUAAUUUCAAUGUAAGAGCUAAUCUUUUGACACAGCAAAUGGCAAAAAGUAAAAAACAAGAUGAUUUUAUAGUUAAAAUAUGAAAGUAUAUCAUAAUUGAAAUUAGGCUUAUGCUGAAAAUUUACUUGAGUUCUAAAGUGACUCUUUAUUACUUUAAAUAUAUCUAAACAAAUCCAAAAUUAAUUUUUUUAUCAGUUUAGUCCUUAAAUUUUUAUUUUUAGAUCAAUUAGUUUCAAUUUUUAUUAAAAGGAAAAUUAUAUUAAGUAAAGAAUCAUAAUUAUUUAUACCUUUCAAACAUUAUAAGCAUUUCAGUGUCCAUUAUUUUUAGUUUUCUCAAUCAUUCAAACAUUUUUGUAAAACAAACUUUUCCAAUCAGAUAAAUACACUCUAUUUUUUUUUCAAUUUUCCCAAAUCAUAAAGCCUGAUAUUAAAUGUCAUAUAGUUAAUUUGAACUUUAAUUAAUCUAAAUAAAAAUUAAAUGAAGGGAGAAAUAAGAUUACUUGCACCUAAUCAUCACUGUCAAGCGAGGAUUGAAUGUUGCAGCCAUCAACAAUAACUUGAGGAAUAUGAGCAAUUUUGGACCAAUCUUCACCCUUUUCACGUUCACAUCUUUCUCCCAAUGCAGAACAAUUUUCAAUCUUCAGUUGUUGAAGAGAAACUAUAUUUUUCAGGCAUGCAGGUAAUUCUUCAAUAUUAGAACAAUCUUCAAGAUGUAAGUUUUGUAGAGUGUACUUGGAUCCUUGGAGAAGCCAAUAUGGAAAAUUCACUAAUUUUGGCAACUUUACAAGUGCCAAAUUUUGAAGGCUGAGUUGAUUGAAAUCUUCCUCAUCCACCAUGUCCAAAUCGAUAUUUUCACAACCACCAAUUGUAAGAGUUUUUAGUGAACUCAGAUAUUUUAUGCUUGGUGGCAAACAAAUUAAACUUUUACAAUUUGCAAUAACUAGUUUUCGAAGUUUACUAAGACCUUGCAUAUCUUCACACAAGUAUUUUAGAUUUUCACAUUUAAUAAUAAACAAAAUUCGAAGAGAUUUCAAGCAUCCAAUUCCAUUAUUUAACGACCUCUCCUCUUUUGUUGUCAUUAGUAAAAAUCUAAGGCUGAUAAAGGACUUUAUAUUAGUGGGCAACUCUUCAAAUCCUUGACAAAGUAACAAAGCUUGUAAAUUUUGCAACUUGCAAAUAGAAUCAGGGGCUUUGAUAAUCUUAGAAUUUCCAUGUAAACGGAAAAAUCUCAAAUGCUUUAAAGUGCCUAUUCUCUCUAGUGGAACGUCUAAUUUCAAAUGACCUAAAUCCAACAUCCGCAAAUAUUGAAAUCUUGACAAAUUUACGUCCAACAUUAAUUUGCUGUUAAGAUCCCUUUCCUUACUCAUAAAAACAAUUGUUCUUGCAUGGUCUAAUCCUUGUAAAAUCGUGGAGAGAUCUUGAGGAAGUGAAGCAUUGUCAGGAAAUAACAAAUGUCGAACAUUUUUGGGGAUCUGUCUAGUGCUAGAGGUCACUAUUAAAUAUUCAUUUUGUGUCAAUGAUAAUGCAAGAUCAUGCACUAAAUCAUGCAUUUUACAGUUAAUAAAUCCAUAAUUUUCCUCGAAAUCUUGAAAAAAGCACUUAGAUGCUAACUCCUUCAAAUAAUGCAAACCCGCAUCUUCCAAUUCCUCAUUUUCAUUCAUCGAUCGAACAAGUCCAUGUGCCAUCCAAACUUGAACUAAUUCAACAUCAUUAUACAUAUAGUCCUUUGGAUAAAAUGAACAAUAACCCAAACAUCUUUUCAAGUCAGAUGGCAAUUGCUCGUAACUUAAUUUUAAAGCAUGUAAAAUGCCAUUUUCCCCCUGCUCCAAUUUCCAUAACUCAUUGUCUCUUAUAGAAUUCCAAUAAUCUUCGUCAGUUUUUGAAACAAGGAGAGAAGCCAGUGUCUUCACAGCUAAGGGAACUCCUUUACAUUUUUUCACAAUUCCAUCCCCAAUUUUCAACAAGUUUGGAUAGCGUUUCUCUUGGCCUUUUGUAAAUGCAAAUUUAGUAAACAAAGCCAUAGACUCAUCAUGAGAAAGACCUAACAAUUCAUAAGCAGGAACAGAACCCACAAUAGAGGCAACUUGGUUACUACGAGUUGUUACCAAGAUUUUACUUCCAUUGCCACCCAUAUACAACAAUUCCUUCAAUUGAUUCCAUUUCAUGGGGUCAUUGUUCCAAACAUCAUCUAAAACAAGCAAAUAUUUCUUCUCGCCAAUGGUUUUCUGUAGGACUUUUGUUAAUUGCUCCAUUUCCAAAUUGCUCAAGUUUUCUAUCUCAAGUCUCAUACCAUUGGUUGUCGAUUUAAUAAUUUUCUCUGUUAAUAUUUUUAUAUCAAAAUCUUCUGAUACACAAACCCACAUUUUAACUUCAAAUAAUCUCUUUACUCGAUCAUCAUUGUAAAUUAGUUUAGCAAGUGCAGUUUUGCCCAAACCUCCUAUUCCAACAAUUGGAAUAACAGAUAUUUUCCCAUCAUUCAUCAAAAGUUUGAUGAUGUUUUCUUUAUCUGUGUCUCUUCCAAUGAUAUCAGAGGCUUGCAUAUAGGAGUAGGUCAUCUCCCUUGUCCUAUGCACAAAGUAUCUAUUUCCAUGUUGUUCAUUGAGAUGAAAUUUAGCUCUAUGACUUGCAAUCUCAUCUAAUCUUUCUGACCCGUUUUAAAACGAAAUGCAAGUGGAUUAAAGGAUGAAAAGAAGCGGCCAACCUGAAAUUCAAUAAGUAUAAUAUAAAUUUAGAGAAAGAAAGAGGGUCGAGUAUAGUGAGUUCAGAUUGCAGACGAGUCGGGUUAUUCAUUUGAUUAACAAGUGAUUGCCCUGAAUUAUAUUGAACAGAGUAUAACUUCAAUUUGUAACUUAAGAAUACCUGAUCUUUAAUUUAUGUAACAAUAAAAUGUCUAUGAACAUAAUUAUGUAUCUCCGCUAACCGGAAUAUCACAUCUUUGACAAGUAGCAAUUUUUUAAUGGGAUAAUGUAAUUUUUGGUGUUUGACUUGCAUUUUUUUUUUCCAAUUUGGUGUCUACCGAUGAAGUGAAAAACCAAAUUGUUUAGUGGGACGAAUUAAGGCCCACAUAUGCCUAAUUAUGGCCUGACUUUUAAUUUAUGUAAGCUAUCUAACGCGGUAAAUAUGAUUAGAUUACCGAUUUAUAAAAGAAAAUUUAUAAAAGAAAUUGCAAUCUUAUGAAUAAUAGUUAAAAUUUUGAUUUCUAUUUUCUUUCUAAAAUAAAUGAUAAUAAACUUUAUAUAUAAUAUUAUCUAUAAUCUACAUAUAUAAAAUCUAUAUCUAGAAUAUAUAAAAGUGGAAUGAGAGGUGAACAUAGGGAAUUAUAAUAAGUAUGUAGUUAGGGAAUUAUAUAUUUCCUGACAAUAAAUAACUUUUAUAUAUCUAUAUUUAUAAUAUAAAUUUAUAACUAUAAUUAAUAUAUACAAAAGUAAAAAUAAGUGGGUGAAUAAUGUCAUUGUCAAAAAGCUCAUUCUAAGUUUAUCGAUUGAAAAAAAUAUCAUUAAGGAUUUUAAUUUGAUUAAUUGGGUAAAAAAAAUAAAGAUACUUUAAUUUUGAUUGAUCAUGUUAAUUUUCUAUUUAAAUCUAAAUUUUAUUGAGUAAAUAAAAUUGUAUUAUAUAUUAUAUAAGGUAUAUAUUAAAUGCCUUAAGAAGUUUUAAGGAUUUUAAUUUAUUUUUUUUUUGAAAGAGAGGAUUUUAAUUUUAUUAAUUUUAUUAGUUGAAAAAAUAAAGGUAAUUUAAUUUUGAAUGGUUAAAUAUCCUAUAUAAGGUAGAUAUUAAAUAUGUUAAGAAUACGAUACAUUUAGUUAUUAUUUUUGAUAAAUCUUUAUUUUAAUUAGUUAUAAUUAUUUCCUACAAGUAACCUAUACUAUAAAAAAUAUAUGCAAUAUAUUAUUAUUUAUUAAGAAAUAUAUUAUAAGGUUUAUUAUUCGAUAUAAAAUAGAAAAUAAAACUCACCGUGUAAUUUAAUAUAAUAUAAUAUUAUGAUAUAAUAUGUUAUAUUAACAAACCAUGUAAUAUAUUGAAAUAAUAUGUGAAAAUGUAACUUUUUACAAUUCAUUUGCUAUUAUAUAAUAAAAAAUUAUAUAUUGUUCAAGAAAUAUACAAUUAAUAACCUUCUUCAAGUUUAACAAAAUUGACCUAUCAAUAUCUAAAUUUUAAAACUAAUUAAUAAUAUAGAUCUUACUAAAUAAAGAGACUUAGACAACUAAGUUAUAAUAUUUUGUGCAUAAUAUUUAUAAUUCUAAUAUAAUUUUAGAAAAUUAAUGAUAAAUAAUUCAUUUUUUAUUUUCAAAAUAAAUGAUUAUCCAUGCUAUUGAAAGUUCUCUUCUAAAUUAUAUGACUUUACAUAUAUAUUUAAACAAAAAUGUGAACUGAAACCUAAUUUUUUUUGUGAAAUAUUUAUUUUUUACCGACUAAUUGGAGAACACAGAACUAGCUCAUCUUUUUUUAUUAUUUUGUAUACAAGAAAAAUAAAUAAUAAUAACUGAAUUGAAUUGAUUGUAUAUUAAUUAAAAUAAGUUAAUGCAAAAAGUAUAUUUAUUAUAGUAUCAUAAUAUUGAUUUUAAAAAUUUUAAAGUAAAAAAAAAAAAUCUAUUUUUAUUAUUUUUUAUAUGUCAAACAAGUGACAGUUUCGGGUCUAGUUAAUGGAUCGGGUCUUUGAAUGAGGUCAACAAGUUAACCUACUAAGUCAACCCACAAUUGACCCUCACCGGAGUUGGGUCAUUCAGGUUUGGACUCAGGUAGAGUUUGGGCGGACAGAUUCAGGUUGGGUUUUACAAAUUGGGUUAAGAUAUGGUGGAAAGUUCUGUAUUCUAAAUUUCUUUUUGAUACAUAAAAAGCCUAAUGGACUGAAAUAAUAUUGUGGGCUACACAACAUAGGUAACUCUUUUCUUUAAAUAAUAUUCACUAAAACUCAAGAGCUCUAACUUCCUUCAUCUUUUAUCUAAUGGACUGAAAUACUAUUGUGGGCUACACAGCAGGGGUAACUCUUUUCUUUAAAUAAUAUUCACUAAAACUCGAGAGCUCUAACUUCCUUCAUCUUUUAUCUAAUGGACUGAAAUAAUAUUGUGGGCUACACAGCAGGGGUAACUCUUUUCUUUAAAUAAUAUUCACUAAAACUUGAGAGCUCUAACUUCCUUCAUCUUUUAUAAAAGGUCGGAAGACCAAUCAGACCACAUUUGAUUGGAGAAGUAUUAUUAAACUAAUACAUUAAUGUAAUACUAAUUGAAAUUAUUAUUACAUGUUCAUAAGCAUGUGUGUGUCUUUCUGUAAUUUGAUUCUAUUGCCUUUUGUUUCUAGUUAAUAACUGCUAACUAGUAUUUUCUCAUGCCAUUAAACUAGUACUUGGCAGUUAAAAAAAAAAAAAAGAAAGAAAGAAAGAAACAAAAAUGGAAAAUCUUCCAAUAUCGAAUUUUCUGCGUUAUCGAUAUAAAGUCUGAAAAUUAUAUAUAUGAAGGAGAAUAACUUAUCUAUAUUCGAUGUAUACAUUCAUCCUAUACACCAAAUCAAUUAAAAAUAAUUUUUUGAAUCAAAUGAAAGUAUUUUAUUAGGAUAUAAUAGCAAUUAGUUAAGGAGUUAGGUUGUUUCUAUUUUUCUCUAUCUUGCUCUCUAUUUUCUCUCUUCCCAAUCACUCUAGUUAGGUUGUUCCCUAGCAAUUGGUUUCAUAUUAAUAUUUAUACUUUUAUAACGGCCACAUCACCUAUUAUUUACAAUUCAGUAUCCUAACAUAUUUCUAAUCGGAGAUAAAAGAAUAAAGAGUAAUCAUUUUUUUAAAAAAAAAACUUUUAAUAAUCUAGGCAAAUCUUAUCCUGUCCUAUAUGAAGAGUAAAAACAAUUGAGAGGCAUGUACCUUUUUUCUGGUGCUUCCAUAUAAUUUAAGCACUUCCCUUCUCUUUGUCUCGCACUCUAAUUCAUCAAGAACAUCUUCAGCAUCAUAAAGGGCGUCUUUAAGCUUAGCCAACCAAAGGCGCAACUCGUGGUUCUUUUCCUGCUUCUCCUUUGCAUCCAAUAGCACAGCUUCUAUAGUUGACAAGAUAUCCUCAAGCUUUUUCACUUCCCCUUCAAAACCCCAUGCAAAACAGAUCUCUUUGUAAGCAUUAGAAGCUAGCUUUUCCAAUACUUUUUCAGCUAUAUUAAAAGCAAAUGACUCUAUAGCCAUGUCUUAAUUUUGUGUUUGAAAAAUUAUAAAGUGGGUUUCGGUUUCUAAGAAUGAGCUAGAAAGAAUUUAUGAACAUCCCAUUUUAUAGAGUAUUCAAGUAUAAUGUUGUGAAUUAAAGUAUGUAUUCUUUUCUUUUCUUUGUGGAAAUAACUAAAUAAGAUGCUAAGUCUUUUGAUGUGUAAAGUUGGUACAAUUAAUGAUUUAUUUCUCUAUUCUCUUAAGUUGUAUUCAUUCCAAAUUCCAACUUUUUUUGGAAGAAAAGUUAAUAACUUAUUCUCCACUUGAUAAGGAAAAAUUAAAUGUGUCGUGAGAAGAAUUGGGUUUCAAUUCAUAGCCUCAUAGAAAUAUAUAUUAUAAUAAGGCUCCACACGUUUGUUUAUGUAAAAUAAGUUAUAAGAAAAUAUUUUUCAUAAUUUUCUAUUGUUUGGAACGUUCAAGAAAAUAAGUCAAUGGAAAAUAUUUUGUCAUCAAAGGAAAAUUAAGUCAUUUUUAAGGAAAAUAAUUUCGCAUUUUCAUGAGAGUAAAAUAUUUUCUGGAUAUUGACAAAUCUUAUGAAUCUAAUUUUUUUUUUUAAUUUAUUAAUUAUUGUAGUCAUCACCACCAAUCACCAUUUACCACCGACCACCAGCCACCGGCGGCAACACCACCGACCACCGACGGCUUUCAUAAUUUACAUUUUUUUUUUUUUGCAUUCUUGCCCUAUUUAACAAUAAAAUUUUUAAAUUAUAAAAUUUCUAUUAUUAUUAAUAUUUUUUAUCAUCUUAUAAGAUAAAUAUUUUAAUAUUUUUAACUAAUUUUCAAUAUUACAGCCAAACUACAGAAAAUAAAUCAUUUAAAAAUUAUUUUUCAAGAAAAAUUUUUUCAUAAAAAAUAUUUUUCAGCAAGUUAUUUUACGAAAAUAAACGGAGCAUAAGUCAAAUAAUUAAAAUAAUAAACUUUAACAAUGAAAACAAAUAAUUGGUUUAAAUAAAAUGAAUUAUUUUUCAUUAAUCAUCAUUGUUGUUGUAAAGAAAAUAUAGCACAUUUGUUUUUAUACGUUUUAUUAUUAACUAACAUUUAUUUCAUUCGCUAAUCUUAUUAUUUAAACAUUAUUAAGCUUUGUUAUUUACCAAGUAAAAAUAAUCAUUUAUUUUUCACUUUUUCUUUCUCUCCUGAUAUUUUAUUUGACUCAUAUCUACUUUCUUAUCUAUUUUGUCUUUGUUUUUAUUAUUAUUAUUAUUAUUGUUGUUUUGUCUCCACAUUUGAAAUUUUUUCACCCCUUCUUCCAUGAGGGUAUCAUCCCUUCUUUGUGAAAAGUAUAAUACUCAAUAAAUGUAUGAUAUUUGAUUUUAUUUGAUUGAAGAAUUUAGAUCUUGAGUUCUAGAUAGAAGAAUUCUUUAUGUUUGAUAUAUUAAUUAAAAGGUUACAUGGGUUUAAAUACAAGUAUGAGAGAUAAGAAUCUCAUAGUAUAAGCUAACAGUAUUUUACUAUAUCUUAACAAAUAUAUGAACAACUAACUUGCAAAGAAUAUGGCAUGCAUGGAACGGAUUGUAAGCAAAGUAAAAGAAAAGCAUGUCUUGAACGUGACACAACUUAAGAAGGUUAUAAGUAAGAAUUUAUUUAUUAUUGUUAUCUUUUUUUUAAAAUGCUAGCAUUCAAUUUAUUUUUAGAGCCUUGUGUUACAAGAACUAAUUUUAUUUAUUAUUAUUUAUUAUUAGUAUUUUUAUUUUUAGAAAAAAAUUCUCAAAUUGUUGAUACCCAACAAUACCGUUAUGAACCUGGGUUUGACACUAUUGUAAGCCUAAUUAAAUUAACUUAAAUCCCUACAAAGGCCCAUAACUUCAAAAAUAAGAUUUUUGAUUUAAUAUAAAUCAAAAAUAUUUUGAAAGCAAAAUUACAGGAUGUUUCAGCAGGGGUUCACUAUGGACUGUGUUCAAUACGGGCCAAUCAAAUUUUUUUAUAUAAUAUUUUUAAAUAUAUUUUAAAAAUAAUUAAGAUUGUAGAAUGUAUAAUACUAAAUAAUUUUUUACAAAAAGAAUUUAUAAAUAUUAAAUAAUUUUUAGAAACACUAUAAAUUAUGAAAUUAAUAAUUUUUUAUUUUAUUAAUUUAUGUUUUAUAAACAUUGUUACUGAAGUUUUUUUUUUGAAUUUCUAUGUCAGAAUCUCGAGCUACAAUCUACGACUUAUGCUGAGCCCCUCGUUCCCUCAUGGCGACCUUAGCAUCCUUCAAGGCAUCCUCCAUUUGAUUCUUCUUAACUUUCAUCUUGGGAUAACAUGAUUUUAACUUGUUAUCGAAGUGAACUUCAUGUUGUUAGCAUUAAUGGCCUGAAAAAAGCACUGGUUUAAGAAGUACCUAAUCGACACAUCGUCUAAAUGCUCGUAAUAAUGAGCAUUGGUUGGGAAGAGACAGUUCUAAGACAUUUCUCGGCUAGGCCCAUCAUCUUGAAGACUGUAGCUCGCACCAUACUUAUGCAUAAAGUAGCUACGGAUGUCCAAGGGCCUUGAAGGAAUAUGGGGGGCACUGGAGGGGCGCAGGAAUAGGAAUCUCUCUUUGUCUUUUCCUGGGUUGCUAGGUCGAUGGGCUUGAGGGAGGCAGCUCGAAUUGGGCACCCCCGGUAGUUCGGUCAACACCAGUUGGAGGAGUGUCGAUACCAUUGAAGGCACCUCUCUUCCCGAACUCUCCGCAGCAACUUUUUCUUUUUCAUUGCCUCGGUGACUUCGACCAGCUUGGAGCUCUUUGAUUUCUUCAGGGCCAUAUCUGCAUCAAAGAAAAAGAAAAAAAGGAAAAUUAAAGAAUGUUAGUACAAGGGUAAUACUUAAAAUAAUCAGAAGCAGUAUAUACCAAAAACGAAAGAAUGGGGCCUAUGGGUCCACUAUAAGGGCGAACUUGAUAACCCUCGGUAAAUUUGCUUCAAAUUCGCCAUUCUCAAUCCCCUAGACUUUAUCAACUCUACACACUUCAAAUCAUCUGAGGUAGGCGAAGAAGGGUGGUGCUUUGCAAGUUCGCCAGACCACCAGGUAGGAACACCGAACUCUCUAACUCGGUGAAUAAUGAAAAGCUUAUGCUUCCAAUUCUUUAAUGACAACAUCUUUAAAGAUUUAUAAAAUAGGUUGCAAUCUUUCCUAGCUUGGAGGAAGCAAUGAUCCUUAGUCGAUCGAUGUUACACUCGGUAAAGUCUAUCCAUACCUCGAGCCAUUAACAUAGUGCCAUCUCUGCACGCUAGCUCGGCAAUCGCACAUAGUAGCCUCAAGUCGUUAGGAUGUAAUUGACUGAUAGUGAUCCCAUGCUCGUUGAAAAAUGACCUUAGAGGCUCAGAGAGAGGAAACUGAACACCAGAGCGAAGAUGCUCUUCGUACAGUAUCAUAAACUCUUCAUCAUCCAAAGGGGCCUUGGCUCGCACAUCUGGCCCAAGGCGAGUCAGUUUGUAAUCUGCACCAAGGUCAUAAUUUGUAUAAAUAGCAAGGAGCUCGCCCUCACUAAUGUCCGAAGAAACAACAGAUAUUCUGAUGUUCUCCACCCUAUCCCUUGCUUCGCCUUCCUCGGCCUCGUUGGCUUCAAUGAUCUCGUCCUCAGAAAGCUCAACUAGAGUAUGCAUCUUCUCAUCACUAGAUGAACCCAUAGUCCCCUCGACAAGCAAGGAAAAAGAAAGACAGAAAAAAGAAACUUACUCCGAAGAAAACUUUAGAGAGAGAAGCUCUGACAAAAGCAAUUUAGAGAGAGAAGCUCUGAAGAUAGAAAAUGAAGUUGUGAAAGCAAGUGAAAGCAAAAUGACCCCUAUAUAUAGAAAGGGGCGAGAAAAGGUCACACCCAUCAAAAGCCUCUUAAAUAUCCCUCGGCUAACAAACCAACUCCUCGUUCCUCGCAUAGAAGGAGUUGUCUUUUUUUCUAACAUAAAUGGUACACAUAAAAUAAGAAAACUGCAAUAAAAAUGGUGAGAAAAUACACUUACUCAUAACCCUUUUCUAGACAUAAAUAACUAAAAAACUAGGGGGAGACUACUAUUUACAUACAAUAAUAAAUAAUAUUAAAAUAAUGAUAUUAGACUUUUAAGUAAAUUCAAAUUAACAGAUAAUGCAGGAUUCGUAAUCCUUGUCUUAGUAUAAUUGUCUUGAAUCCAAUAUAUAUACUUAGAAAUUACCCCAUUGAGGGGUUAAUUCACAAUUUACUCGCUCCUAAAUUUCUGAGAGUAUAACAGUAUAGUUCUUGAAAAGUUAAGGGAAUUCCCAGAAGGAAUUCUUGAUGACUGCAAAAUUUCUUUCCUCAGAUUUUGAAUUUUCUUUAGGGAAAGAGGGUAGGUUUUGUGAAGAGCAAAUAUUUAGUCAUAUCUAUAGAGCUUGUAUUGCGCAUCUGUGAAGGAGAUAUCAGUCUUUUCUUGAAAUAUCUUUUUGAGGCAUAUUCUUUAAUUCAAUCUAAAUGUUGCUUUAUUUCAAGAAUGAUAAUUAAAGAAGACUUUUGGCACGUUUGUCUAGAAUUUGGAGGAUUUGUCUGGUAAAAUAUAGAUUUGGGGAAUAAUUUUGGUUUCUUAAAAGAGAAUAUGAUUUUAGUUAAGAAUUUUUCACUUUCAAUAGACCCUUAUUAUUUAAUUGGAGGUGGGUAUUUUUUUAUGUAUAUAUAAAAUAUUAAUGAAGAUUUAGUAGUAUGAUAUGUUCAUAAUUUUUGAGAACAACAUAACUUUGGAUAUAGUUUCCAAAACAGAAUAAUUUAUCAUAAUUUUAAGCACUUCCGGCAUGGCAUCGAGGGAUCCAAAUUUGGGUGCUGCUAUAAUGGAAUGAUAAAAGAAAUCUGUGACUCUAAUAUGCUACAAUUUCUCCAAGAGAGUAAUAGCUACAAUGGUGAACUGUGACUAUAACGUGCUACAACAUCGAUGAUGGAGUGAAAGCUGAUGUGUAUCUUGUAAUAGAAAAGCCACGGUAUAUUUUUGUCCAAAUAAAAAUAGCCAGAAAUCUCACAAAUCAAGUAACAAAUAUUUUCAAUUGAUAUAUUUUGGAUUUUAAGCAAAUACUUAUGAAUAAAGACUAAAUAACAACUAGCAAUUAUAUGACCCAAAAAUAAUAAUUAUGUUAUGUAAUUUUUAAAAAUGAAUUUUAAAAAUAAUUUUAAAAUAAUUUUGUUGUUUGUUGUUUAAUCAAAUAAUUUUAAAAAAAAUAUUUUUCUUCUUAUUGACACCAUUUUCACGCUUUUGCAUUUAUAACUAAAGUGGAAGCAUACAGAUAAUUUAGAUCUAAAUUGCUAUAUAUCAUGGUUCUGAGAAUUGAAGCGGAGUGAUCGAUUCGACUGGUUUAAUCAGAGAUUGAACUGUAUCCUGUCCUGAUUGAUUAAUAAAGACGGGAGCUAAAAAGUCAGUAAGAACCAGAGAGAACCGAUGAGAAUCGAUUAAUAAACGGUUAAUAAACCAACGAACUAAAACCUCAAAUAUUACAGUUUGAUUUGAAAUCAAAAAUGUAAAGAGAAAAUGGAACAUCUUUUAAAGCCUGUAGCCACGUAAUCUCUGUACUUAAAAUAAAAACCUAUGUACCUAAAACAUGAUAUCAUUGUUCAUUUUAUUUAAAAUAAAUUUUAAAAAAUAAAAAAUGUAAAAUUUUUUGAAAGAUUUAAUUGUGUAUUCUCCUCCAAAUUUUAUUUUUAAAAAAAUAUAUGCAAUCAAAUCAAACAAAAAUAAAGAGAAAAAAUGGAAAUUCUUUUAAAGCCUGUAGCCACGUAAUCUCUGUACUUAAAAUAAACACCUAUGUACCUAAAACAUGAUAUCAUUGUUCAUUUUAUUUAAAAUAAAUUUUAAAAAAUAAAAAAUGUAAAAUUUUUUGAAAGAUUUAAUUGUGUAUUCUACUUCAAAUUUUAUUUUUAAAAAAAUAUAUGCAAUCAAAUCAUACAAACAUAAAGAAAAAAUUAAAUAAAAAUAAUAUAUAUUUUUCUUUUUUUAUCUCUUUCCUAAAUAAAAUAUUAUGUAUAUUCUAUUUGAAAUUUUAUUUCUAAAAAAUUAUAUCCAAUCAAAUUAUACAAAUAUAAAGAAAAAAAGAAUAUUAAUAAAAAAGAAUAUUUUUUAUUUUUUAUUUUUCUUCAAAAUAAAAUAUUUUAAAUUAUAAUUAGAAUAGUAUCAAAUAUUUAAAAAAAUAAAUAUAAAAAUUUUCAUAUAUACUUAUUAAAAAUAAAUUUAAAAUUUAAAAUAUAGAAUUUUGAAAUGUUUAAUUAUUUAUAUGUAUUUAUGUAAAAAUAAUUUUUAUAAAUAUGUACAAUCAACUAAUAAAAUGUAAUUUUCUAAUUGACUAUGACUAAGAUUAUUUUAGUAUAUUCUAAAUUUCAUUGAGGACACUAUCGAAAAUCUGAUUAUUUCCCUCUAUUUUCAUAUUUAUAUAUAGUAUAAAUAAUAGAUUAUAGAUAUAUUAUUUAUCAAUUUGCAAAUUAUUUUUUAAAAUCUCACAUAGCAAGUCAUUUAUGAGCAAACUGCAACCACCAAACUGUUCUUUUCACUUCAUCUUUUGAAUUCCAUUUUCUUCGAUGGCUACUAAAUUCUUCAUCCUCUUGUUAUUCCUUUAUUUAUAUUCAUAUAUUUUUCUCACUUCAACUCCAUCUCCAGAUAGUUGGAGAUUCACCAUCUGUCUCUUUCUACUACUACUACUACUACACUACCAAAAAUUGGAUCUCCUCUUGCAUCAAUAGAUCCACCAAUCUCUGGUAUUUUAUUCAAAAAUUGGAUCACCAAAACACAAAGCUUAAAUGCCUUCAUAGUCUCUUGAGGUUUAUCAACAGGUAUUUUGUUCAAAAUGACUAAGAAAAACCAAAAAACCAGGUUCAUAUUGGUUCUUUCGAUUUCCAAGUUUGUCUGAAUUUUUCUGGUCCAACAUUUUUCUGACAAUUCGAGUUUGAGUGUUAAACCAGACCGGGCCAGCUAUUAGUUCGCAAGUUAACCGGUCCAACUGGUGGGCCUGGUUCGAUUUUAAAAACACCAUGAAUAUACAAACCUCUCAUAUAGAUGGAUCUAUGCAUUUCACAAAUUUAUUUCUACAACAUUAUCUUAACCACAACGACUGAAUUUUAAUUUCAAACUAGUUGGAUUUGACUAUGAAUUCUUUAUUUCCAUCCUCCAUUGUUUACAAUCAAAUUAUGCACGAUGUUUGGCCAAAAAAAAAAAAAGAUAUUUUAUAAUAAGUUCUCGAUAUGGCUCUAAAUCUACCUUAAAAAAAAAAAACAUAUCUCUAAAAUAUUAUAACAUAAAUUAUAACAUAAAGUGCAUGUAAAUGUUAUUAUUUUUAUAAAUUCAGAAACUUUGUCAAUAUUUUGGAAUCUUCCAAAAAGAAGAAAUAACAAAUAGAUAAAAUGAAAUGGAGGAGUAAUUAAAAAAAUACUAACAUUGAAACUUUAGGAGAUUAAAAUACAAAUUUCAAUAGUAUGGUGUCAUUAAUUAAAUUCUCGUAACUAUCAAAUACAAAAGUUAAUUUUUGUACUUCAAAGUCAUUUCGUUUUCAAACAUAAAAGCUGAGAAAGUAGAACUCUUCUGAAUGAAGGAUCUGCUGCUAUAAAAACGUGCCUUUAGCUGUUAGAUUGCAAUGUAUAUUGGGAUUAAUGUUUUUGUUUCCCUUCUAAAUAAAUUAGCUACGUGCUAUGCAUACAUAAAUUAAUAAAUAUUUAUUUUUUAAUAUAUAUAAUUGAUUUAUAGAUAAAUAAUUUUGAAACAUAUUCAAAUUUAAUUUAACAAAUAUAGUUAAAAAAAUUUUAAAUUGUAAUUAUGAUAUUAAACCAUUUUUAAAAAAAAUAUAUUUUUGGAAUGUUACAAAAAUAAAAUAUUUUAUUUUAUUUAUUUACAUAGCCAAAUAAAAAUUUAUAAUUUUGAAAUGGCUAUUUCAUUUAGUGAAAAAUUUUUAUUGUGCGAAUUAUAUAUUUAGUCAAAUGAUUAUUUAUUUAGUUAAGUACUAUAUUAUUAAUUAUUAUGCCUUAACAUUUAUAUUUUUAUAUUUAUUUACAAAUUAAAUUCAAACAAUAGAAAAUUAGAAUAAAACAAUUAAUAUACUAUGAUCAUAUAUAUAUAUAUAUAUAUAUGAUUAAUUAUUGUUAUUUUGUGGUUAAUCUAUAUUCUAAAAAAUUGUUUUAAAUAUUUAGGGUAAAUAGAAAACGUUUACAAUGCACCAUAUUGGUCACAAUCUAUAUAUAAGGCAAUUACUUUCAAAUUGAUAAAAUGAAAGCAUAACCAUGAUUAUAAGGUAAAGCGAAAUUGAAAACAGUCGAUAAUACAAAAUCUAGCUUUUAAUAACCAUGAUUAUAAGGGAAAAUUGCAUUAAUCCAACUGUUAGAGAAGCCUAACAAAAUAACCGCAAAAUCUAGCUUUUAAAAUGGCAUCAUAGAAAUUAAAAUACAACUGAUUAUUUCUUUCCAAAACGACGGAUGAUCUUGCAGUAGUAAUUCCACUCAGGAUGAUCAGUAGAUAUGGCAGACAGACCAAAAUCAAGAGGAUUCUCCUUCACAUAAUAUGGCACAUCAUCAGCCUCUGUUAUGCCAUCCAAGAACAACCGAAGCUUGCCAUUAGGACCUAUAUAUUCACAGAGAAGUAACUUUAACUAUUAGUACAAGAAAAAAUAUGCAGGAAAUACGGUUUUUUUUUUUUUUUUUUUUAACAAAAUUAACCAUUAUCUCUUACCCAAAACAUUAUCAUUAGCCUGUUUUGAAUUGUACUCAGGGAUGAAUAUAGCUGAGUUAGGUGGAUUUAGAAGUGACUUGUAAGGCUCAUCAUCUAUUAACAAAGUAUUUGAUGAUGAAUAUUUUCCUGAAUACUUAUCCCACAAAUUUUCCAUUUCUUUAAAAAAGAUUGGUUUGUGCCUGUCAUUUGAAGUCUUGAAUCCAGAAUCAGUGCAGUACUUUUGGUCCUGCAAAUCAAGAAAAGCUCAAUCCAAUCAUAUAUUUAGGUGGUUAAUAUAUAUUUUUUUGGCAUAGCAUUUCAUAUAAUAUAUAUCAACUGCAGAUAGCACAUACCCAAGCAAAAAGAAGUUUGCUUUUCGAACUUCCCAUGACAAACUCCAGGGCAUUAUUCAAGUUCUUUCUGUUUAAUUUUCAAGAAAUGAAGCAAAACCAGUUAUUUAAAAGAGAACAAAACACAAUAUAUUAGGGAGGGUGUGAAGGUAAAUCCACUAACUCUAUCACAGUCGACCAAAUUCCAACUUCAAAUCUCUGAAAACAAAAUUUUAGGAAAUCUUCACAAUGGGGUCUCUUGCAAACUGAAGAGAAGAGAAGAGAAGAGAAGGAAUUAAUAAGAACUAAAUAUGUUAAAUUAACAUAAUCAAUGAAAAAAAAAAAGAAUAAAACUUUAACUUGCAAUAUUCACAUUUAGGCCCGUAUUUGUUGGAUACCCUGACCCUGUAAUACAACACUCCUGGAGAAAGUACAAGAAGCUUUUUCUUGGGGCCAAUAUUCAUCUUUUUUUCUAAACUUUUACGAAGAAAAUCUACUUGUGUAUCACUAUCACUGUCAUUAUAGUAACAAACAGACUUUUGCUUCAGGUCGACAAUACUUUCAUCCAUUAUUUCUUGGCUGUUCUCUAAACCCUAAAUAGCUGUUCUCUAACCCCUAAAUAUUUGUUAGUUAAUUGGAGAACUGUUGUUUUACAUUCUUAUAUAGUAGUAUAUAUGCGUCUUAUGGGGCUUCAACUCUUGAGCUUCUCUUAUAAGUAUUAAUUAGUAGUGUUAGUUAGUUAAGCAAUUUGUUUUUUCCAAAGAUUUCUGGAGGAGAUAAAUGGACAUUUUGGCUUUCACAUUUCAUUUUUCAAAAUUCGAAACGUAUAAUACCCAACUCAACUUUUCUUGUAUGAUUUGAUUCGACUCGAUGAGUUUGAUGAUUGCAGCGUAGUACAAAGUCUAAUUAAUGUCCAAAGGAUUUGGGGAGCCACAAAUGUAGGAGUGAUGGAAAGAUGAGGCUUGGACAAACCCAAUAAGAGGUAAUAUGAGAAGCUAAAAUCCACGUAUAUGACUCGUCAUCAAAAGACGAAACACAAAAGAUUCCAAAUAUAACAAUCAAAAAAAUUCUCAAAAGCCCGGUUAAUUUAGUCCUCUACAGCUAAUCAAAGCUAAAAAGAGACGUUAUAUUUGUAGAGAUUUUUAUUUGUAUCAACAGCAAACGACUGAGUUUCUUUUUAUUUUAAGCCAAGUGUAUAUUGUUACUUUCAUCCCUUUGAGUGGAAGCACAAGAGGGAUCAAUUGAAAGAGUGGGAAUAGAUGUGUAAAUUUAUUACACGCAGAGUCCUUCGAAAAAGUCUUGACUUGUUACUUUUUAAUCUCAAUAUUAGCAAUGACAUUAAUAUGAUUGUUUUAAUCAAUUCAUUCACUAGUGUUGAAGGGGAGUGAAAAAUUGAAAGAGUAAUGCAAAAUUAAUGGAUCAUUUUGAUCCUGAUCAAAUCCACCAUUUUUAUUUAAAUUGUCGUAAUAGCCUUCUCAAUUUUUUGAGGCUUUCAUUCUUCUUCUUUGCAAGCAUUAAAUGUAUUGUUUCAAUUAGUGCAUUGAGUUUUGUGAGUUAAUAAUGACUAAGAAGGCAUUUGUACUCUCUUAUUCUCUAGGUUGUAUGUCACUUGUCCCCUCCCUCUAUUCAUCUCAUUCUAUCUUAACAUAGAAAAAUGAAAAUUGAAAACAAUAUUUGAAAUAAGAAGCAUUAAUCAGAGAUUUUUUCGCAUAACUCUCGAGUCCAAGUUCCAAAUUAGAAACAAUCAACAUUAUAUCAUAUUUGUGUACAUAUGAUAACUUCAGAAGAAAUUAAAAUUUACUUAAUGAUUUCCAUCAAAGGAGAAUAUUAUUGAACAACAAAAUUAUAAAGUUGAGUUUUUUUUUUUUUUAUUUCUUUAAUACAUUGCUUAGUUUUAUCUUCUUCUUUUUCCUUUAUUUAUCUUCUAUCUUACUACAAUAAUAUAUAAAUUUAUAAUACUUUUCGAUAUGGACUAAAAAUGAAAAUUUUGUAUGCCUAAAACCUAAUAAUAAGAAGAUGUUAGAAUUUAAUUUCAUUAGUGUAACAAACUAUCUUUAUAGUAUUAUGAUUUUUUUAUUAUAAUUAAAAAUAAAAUUAAUGCAUAUGAUUUGGAUUGUGUAUAUAAAAUAUAAUGCAAGGAUAAUUUCACACGGAUGAAAAAUGAGUAAUUUAAUAUCAUACCGAAUGUCCAAAAAAAAAUAAUUUUAAUUUAUUUAUACAUGUAAGUAAAUUUGUUACAUCAUGCUGCUAAUUUAUAACCAAUUAAUUUGUAUUUUUUAAUUUUUGAUUGGCAACUCUUUUUUAUGUUUUUAAUUAUUUCCGUCAUUAUUGUUAGUGUUAAAUUAAAAAGCUCUCAUUUUUCAUUUCUUGCGGAGAAAAAAAGUUUUUCUCUUAGACUCCGUUUGUUUAUGUAAAAUAACUUACAGAAAAAUAUUUUCCUUAUUUUUCUGUUGUUUGGGGAAUUAAGAAAAAUAGAUCAAUAGAAAAUAUUUUCCUGGUCAAAGAAAAAUUAAGUCAUUUUCAAAGAAAAUGACUUUCCAUUUUUAAGAGCGUAAAAUAUUUUCUGAAAUUUGACAAACUUAUUAUAACCUUAUAGAUCCAUAUUUUAUUAAUUUAUUAAUCAUUAGUAGCCACUACAACUACCACCACCAUUGGCCACCAUCGACUACCACCACGGGUCAACGAUGACUUUCAUAAUUUAUCUUUUUUUUUUGCAUUAUUUUUGUAUUUAACAAUAAAAUUUUUAAAAUAUGAAAUCCAUAUUAUUAGUAUUUUUAUUUUUAUGAUUUUAUAAGUUAAAAAUUUUAAUAUUUUUAACUAAUUUUCAAAUUAUAACCAAACAACGGACAAUAAGUCAUUUAGAAAAUAUUUUCAAUGAAUGUUUUCAAGAUUUUCCAAAGAUAAGUUAUUUUCCGGAAACAAAUGGAGCCUUAGAUUAAUGUUAAAAGUACUUUUCAUAUUAUUUUUUUUUAUCUUUAUAUCCAAAAAUAUUUACAUUUAGAAAUUUUUUUUUUUUUGCGAUAAAUUGAAAGACCAUUUUAUUGACCUUCAAGCCUUAAUAGCUAAAAAAUACAUAUGGUGGAUGAGUAGACCAAACCACCCAGUCUGUCAAACUAGUGACCGCUCUUACUAAAUUAUGAGCAACACCGUUAGCAGACCUGCUAAUAAACUCAAGACUCACAUCUCGCAAUUCUAGUGAAAGAGAUUUACAGUCCUGAAUAAUUAAAUCGAAAGUAGAGUUAUCACCAUAGCUAGGAUCAGUAAUAGCCCGAACACAAGGUUGAGCAUCUGACUCCCCAACCACAGUAGACCACCCUACCUCCUUUACCCAGCUUAGAGCUUCUCGUAUUGCCAUGGCUUCAACCGCAUCUGCUUCAUGAUUUCCUUGAACAGAAAUUUUCAAGGCCUGAAUAAAAUCACCGCAGCUGUCCCGUGCCACACAACCAAUACCCACACAAUUUGCAUUGAAAGUUGCAUCAUCUAGAUUAACCUUGAUAACAUCUGCAGAAGGUUUCGACCGAGAAGCAAUUCCUGCAGAAUUUCCAACCCGAGGAUGAUGAUCUCUAGCAUUCAACCAAUCUGUUAACAAGUACUUUGCCUUGCGAUAGACUUGAUUCGGACGCAUCCAAACCUGCUUCCAAAUUGCUGCUUUGCGUGCCUUCCAUGAUGCCCAUAACAUCAUUAUCACCAUUUGCAAAACCUCACCCGAAUAAUUCUCAACACGGCAGGCAAACCAAUCCUGAAAAGUUGGACCUGUUGGAGUUCGAUAACCCACAUCAGACGUCAACCAACAGUCCUUUGCAAACGGACAAAGAACAAACAAGUGCAACUUAGUUUCAUGACUACCAUGGCAGAAAACACAAGAUCCCUGAACUGGAAUUUGUCAGAUGCUGUAAAGUCGAAAUCAAAGGAACAGCAGAGUUGCAGACUCGCCAUGCCAAAUUCAGACAUUUUGGUGGAGCAGAAAUGUGCCAAAAUUUUCGCCACAAUAGCCUAUAUUGCUGUUGCAUAUUUGUGAUAGGAAUAGAGGUCAAAUGCCGAGAGGCACUCUUCACAGAAUAUUUACCCUUCUUGUCGAACCUCCAACUCCAUUCAUCAUUCACACAACGGCGGCUUAGAGAAAUGGAAGCAUUGGCAGCAGCAUCUUCAACGUUAAACACGUGGGAAAUAACAUCUAACCUCCACCGAAAAUUGCCAAUUAAAUCGGAAACAAGGAACAAAUUACAAUCAAUUGUUCUUGGAGUCGAAAUUUUCAUAGAUAACUUAGAUGGUAGCCAUGUAUCCUCCCAUAUUAGAAUAGAUGAGUCGUUUCCAACUCUCUUUCAAGAUCCCUCCUUAUUUAAAGUUCGACUCUCCCAUCUACUAUGCCAUAGGAAGCUGGGAUUUUUCCCUAACUGUGAAUCAAGAAAAUUAAUAUUUGGGUAAUAUUUGGCUCUAAGUAACUUAGCCACUAUAGUGGAAGGAUUCGUCAAUAAUUUCCAAGCAUGUUUGCCCACCAUUGCCAGAUUAAAUUCCCUGAGCUUCUUAAAACCAGACCACCCAAACAUUUCGGUCUACUCAUCCUAUCCCAGCUCAUCCAGUUUAUGCCUUUCUCAUGAUUCGACUCUUUACCCCACCAAUAAUUACUCAUUAGGCGUUGAAGCUCACAACAAAAGGUCUUGGGUAACAAAAAGAGAUUCAAAACAUAAUUGGAAGCGCUUUUAGCAUAGUCUUAAGCAUAACAUCCUUACCGGCACGCGAUAGACAACAACGCUUCCAUGAAUUCAACUUCUGCCAUAGUCUCUCUUUAAUAAAAUCGAAUACUUGUUGUUUAUUCAAACCCACACGAGUAGGCAAAACCAAAUAAGUACCCAAGUCAGCCUUUUCCUCAACACCCAGAGCUUCACAUAUUUGAAGUCUCAAAGCUGCACCUGACAUUCUUUGAAAAACAAAGAGAAGACUUGUUCAUAUUGAUUUGUUGACCUGAAGCUGAAGCAUAAAUCUCAAGGACUUCUUUAACAACCUUGGCCUCACUGUUUACCGCCCGAAAAACCAACGAACUGCUAUCUGCAAAAAACAAAUGAUGAAUAGGCGCACCACGCACCAAUGAAAAACAUGUACUUAAAUUCGAUUCCGAUUAUUCGGUUUUUGAAAUUAGAGCUGGCGGUUCUGAUUGAAAUCAUGAAAAACAUAUUUUUAAAAGAACUUUCAAUUUGUUUUUUUUUUAUUAUUUUAUUGUGAUUUUUUAAAGUAUUUUAAACAAUUUUUAUUAAACUGGUUUAGUUUUUUCAAUAGUAAUAUUUAUUAUUAUUAUUUACUUAUUUAAGCUACAAAUCUAAAAAAGCAUUUUAAAAAGUUUGAAAUAUAUUAUCUAAUUUCGGUUCAAAGUCGGAAUAAAACAGGUACCAGCAAUUCCAAACCGUCUAAAAGUGGUUCGAUUUUGGUUCCACCUUUUUUUUAUAACCGAAACCUGUAGUUUUGAAACCAAAAUCAGCGAUUCUGAAACCAUGGUCAUUCCUCUUACAAUGAAGAGACAAAAAAUACCAAAUAUGAAAACAAAACAACAAUAACAAAAAUAAAGAAAACAUAAAUAUAAGUUUAUUAAAGUGAAUAAAAAUUAAAAGAAAGAGUAGAAAGUAAGAGCUACUGAUAUGACUAGCGAGAAAAAAGAGAAAAGGAUUCCAAAAGCCAAACAUAUUAAUGGUUACUUUUAUUGAUAAUUGUCUUAACUAUUUAUACAAAUAUAAUAAUAAAAGUAAUUACUGACAUUGUAAUUACUCUUGUACACUUUAUAUUCUCAAACUAUACUAUCAAUGAAAACAUAAUUAAAUUAAUUUUACUUUUGAUACUCCCCUCCAGUGGAGCAUACAAAUCUUUUAUGCUCAACUUGCUUAACAGCAACUUGUUCAAGCUGAAGGGCGGUUAAGGAUUCUUCAAUGGAAGCAAUGUCCUUCUCUAAUGUUUCAACUCGGGUGUCCAUUCUGGUUUUGGUUCGAAUCCAACAGGUGAGACCAAUGAUAGAGAUGAGAACAUUGAGAAGCAGAGGAGAUAACAAUAAAGAAUAUAAACUCAAUAAGGAAAUCUGGAGAGAGUUUCUAUUGAUUGUAUUUUCAGGUUACAAGAUUUCUAACUCGUUACUCGAAGAAGGAACAAAAGAAAAUAAUAGAUAUCCAAAGCAAAAGAAAGAUAAUGGCUGACAAAUCAACAACCAAGCAAUUGCUCGUGCAGAGAAUUCUACCAAACAUUCUAUAUGCCAAAAGAUAUCUUCCCUCUCCAAUUGAUUCCAUAUAUAAGCUGCAGCAUAACUAAUUCCUUUGACGUGGCACCUUUUCUUGGUCCACAAUUCUGCUCCAUCAGCAGACCGGCAUCUUUUAGAAUACACUAAAAAGGGCCUUGGGCCUGGGUCAUUUCUAUCAAAUUGUCCUGGAUAUAGAGCUUUAAUGAACAAAUCUGCAACCUGUUCAUCAGUCUUAACAUACUCUGCUUUGAUAAAGUUGGAUAAAAACAAGAACUUGAUAUCUGCAGUUGUAUCAAGCUAAACAAAGUGAAAGAAACUGAAACUGAAAUACAAUAAAUGAUAGAAAGAAAAUGAAGAAAACCACACUUUUGGAUGAUUAAACACAGAGAGUUGAAGGCUUAUUUAUAGCCAUACUCUAAACAAUAAUAGUAGACAAAUAUGGCACUAACAGUAACAUGACUUGACCUUAACAAACUAUCAGAUAAAAUAGUAGAACUAAUAGCAAAUAUCUAAACUGAACAGAUUAUUAUUUGAAUCAAUCUUUAACACACCCCCUUGAUUCAAAAUCACACACUCCAAUGCUGGAACAAAAGAACAAAUGUUUCUUAAGUGGAAGAGCUUUAGUCAGAACAUCAGCAAGUUGCUCUACAGUGCUGCAAUAAGUCAAACUAAUUUGCUCACUUGUGACCAAUUCUCGAAUGAAGUGAUGACGAGUGUCAAUGUGUUUAGUCCUCCCAUGUAAACCUGGAUUUUUUGCCAUGAAAAUAGUGGAUUUAUUAUCAGAAAAAAUCUCAGUUGCUCCCUCUUGUUCUUGAUUCAAAUCCUUCAAUAUCCUUCGAAGCCAAACUGCUUGACAAGCUGAGGCGGUUGCAGCCAUGUAUUCUGCUUCAGACGACGAUAAGGCUGCCGUUGGUUGUUUUUUUGAGCUCCAAGACACUGUACAUGAUCCAAGCAUGAAAACCUGACCUGAAAUGCUUCUUCUAUCUUCCACAGAAUUAGCCCAAUCGCUAUCCGUAAAUCCUUUUAACUUGAAUUCUGAGCUAGAUGUAUACCAAAGUCCAAAAUUUAAAGUUCCAGCAACAUAUCGCAGAAUUCUUCUUGCUGCUCCAAGAUGCUGCUUUGAAGGACUGUGCAUAAACCUGGAAACAACUCCAACAGAGAAGGCUAAAUCUGGCCUUGUGUGACAUAAAUAAAUCAGUCCACCUACUAAGCUUCUGUAUAAUUUCCCAUCUGCAGAUUCUGAACCAUCAUUGACUUGAAACUUCUCAUUAAUAUUCAUUGGCGUUGUGGUGGAGUUACAGUUUAGCAUAUAAAAUCUUCGAAGAAGAUCAAUUGCAUACUUCUUUUGAGAUAUAAAAAUCCCAUCUGCUGUUUGUGUAAUCUCCAUGCCAAGAAAGUAACGAAUCAUCCCCAAAUCUGUCAUCUCAAAAGCUUUCAUCAUAUUUUCUUUAAACUCAAAAAUAAGAGAAGAUGAUGAUCCCAUGUAAAUCAUAUCAUCUACAUACAAACAUACUAAAAGCAAAUCUUUCUCUUGUUUUUUUAGAUAAAGGGUUGGCUCAUUUUCACUUCUAACAAAGCNNNNNNNNNNNNNNNNNNNNNNNNNNNNNNNNNNNNNNNNNNNNNNNNNNNNNNNNNNNNNNNNNNNNNNNNNNNNNNNNNNNNNNNNNNNNNNNNNNNNNNNNNNNNNNNNNNNNNNNNNNNNNNNNNNNNNNNNNNNNNNNNNNNNNNNNNNNNNNNNNNNNNNNNNNNNNNNNNNNNNNNNNNNNNNNNNNNNNNNNNNNNNNNNNNNNNNNNNNNNNNNNNNNNNNNNNNNNNNNNNNNNNNNNNNNNNNNNNNNNNNNNNNNNNNNNNNNNNNNNNNNNNNNNNNNNNNNNNNNNNNNNNNNNNNNNNNNNNNNNNNNNNNNNNNNNNNNNNNNNNNNNNNNNNNNNNNNNNNNNNNNNNNNNNNNNNNNNNNNNNNNNNNNNNNNNNNNNNNNNNNNNNNNNNNNNNNNNNNNNNNNNNNNNNNNNNNNNNNNNNNNNNNNNNNNNNNNNNNNNNNNNNNNNNNNNNNNNNNNNNNNNNNNNNNNNNNNNNNNNNNNNNNNNNNNNNNNNNNNNNNNNNNNNNNNNNNNNNNNNNNNNNNNNNNNNNNNNNNNNNNNNNNNNNNNNNNNNNNNNNNNNNNNNNNNNNNNNNNNNNNNNNNNNNNNNNNNNNNNNNNNNNNNNNNNNNNNNNNNNNNNNNNNNNNNNNNNNNNNNNNNNNNNNNNNNNNNNNNNNNNNNNNNNNNNNNNNNNNNNNNNNNNNNNNNNNNNNNNNNNNNNNNNNNNNNNNNNNNNNNNNNNNNNNNNNNNNNNNNNNNNNNNNNNNNNNNNNNNNNNNNNNNNNNNNNNNNNNNNNNNNNNNNNNNNNNNNNNNNNNNNNNNNNNNNNNNNNNNNNNNNNNNNNNNNNNNNNNNNNNNNNNNNNNNNNNNNNNNNNNNNNNNNNNNNNNNNNNNNNNNNNNNNNNNNNNNNNNNNNNNNNNNNNNNNNNNNNNNNNNNNNNNNNNNNNNNNNNNNNNNNNNNNNNNNNNNNNNNNNNNNNNNNNNNNNNNNNNNNNNNNNNNNNNNNNNNNNNNNNNNNNNNNNNNNNNNNNNNNNNNNNNNNNNNNNNNNNNNNNNNNNNNNNNNNNNNNNNNNNNNNNNNNNNNNNNNNNNNNNNNNNNNNNNNNNNNNNNNNNNNNNNNNNNNNNNNNNNNNNNNNNNNNNNNNNNNNNNNNNNNNNNNNNNNNNNNNNNNNNNNNNNNNNNNNNNNNNNNNNNNNNNNNNNNNNNNNNNNNNNNNNNNNNNNNNNNNNNNNNNNNNNNNNNNNNNNNNNNNNNNNNNNNNNNNNNNNNNNNNNNNNNNNNNNNNNNNNNNNNNNNNNNNNNNNNNNNNNNNNNNNNNNNNNNNNNNNNNNNNUGACGAAUAACCAACAAAAAUACACUUUUCAGACUUGCCAUCUAAUUUUUGUCGUUUUUGUUGGUUAAUUAAGGUAUAGGCAAUACAACCAAAAAUUUUCAGGUGGCUAACAGAAGGCUUCAUACCUGACCAAACCUCAUAAGGUGUACUGUUCCAAACAGCUUUGGUAGGAGAUAUAUUCAACAAAUAAGCUGAUGUAGCUAUUGCUUCCGCCCAUAAAUUGUUUGGAAGAUUUUUGGCCUGCAAUAAACUUCUCGCCAUUUCAACAAUAGUGCGAUUUUUCCGCUCAGCAAUGCCAUUCUGCUCUGGUGUGUAAGGAGCUGUCAAUUCCCUCCGAAUGCCAUUAUUUUCACAAAAUGAAUCAAAAUCAGCAGAUAAGAAUUCUCCUCCCCGGUCUGUGCGAAGAGUUUUGAUGGUUCGGCUGCUUUGCUUUUCAACUAAAACUUUGAACUUCUGAAAAUUUUGGAAAGUUUCUGACUUGGUAACCUGAAAAUACACCCAGCUGAAACGACUACAGUCAUCAGUAAACAACAAAAAAUAUUGACUCCCUCCAAUAGAUUUUGUUUGCAUGGGUCCACACAAAUCUGCAUGUACUAAUUCAAGACAUUCAGAUGCUCUCCAAGACUUUCCAACAAGAAAUGAUUUUCUGCUCUGUUUUCCGUAGAUACAACCUUCACAUAAACCAAUUUGGCCAAUUCUAGGCAACCCAUAAACCAUUUCCUUUUUACUCAACAAUUUUAACCCUUCCACAUUUAGAUGACCAUACCUCAGGUGCCACAAGGUAGAGUCAUUAAGUUCAUUGCCAGCAACUAAAGCACAACUUUCACCUCCAGACACAUCAAGGGGAAACAAAUUAUUUUGAGCCAUAGGAACACUAAUAAUAAUUUUGCCAGAUUUUUUAUCUUUAAUCUCGCAACAAUUAUUAUCAAAUAAAACUAAAUACCCCUUGUUCAUUAAUUGACCAACGCACAGCAAAUUAUUUGUCAAAUUGGGUGCAAAAUAAACAUCAUCUAGUAAUUUCACAUUACCGUUUGACCGGACUGCAAUAGAGCCGAUUCCUUCCACUUUUAUCUUGGUGUCAUUACCAAGCUUUACUUCCUUCUUAAAGUUUUCAUUGAGCGAUGUGAAUGCAGCCUUUUCACCCGACAUGUGGUGUGAGCAACCACUGUCAAUGAACCACACCUCAGUUGGCACUUUCACCUGCACAUCUUGCUCCACCUCUUGGGCCAUGAAUAAUUUUUCUUCUGCCUCAACUUCUGCAUAACUUGCCUUUUCUUUCUUUUUCAGCUUCCAACAAUCUGCUUUCACAUGGCCAUAACCUUUGCAAUGAUAACAUUGAACAUUGCUGCUGUAAUGCCUCUGUUCACCACUUUCUUUAUAAUCAUCAUGCUCAUAAGAUCUUCCUUUGCCUCUUCCUCUUCCUCUGCUACUGCCUCUACCGCUGCGUCCUCCUCUGUUAUGUUCUUUUCCUCUACCAGCCGUUCUUGAGUCACCGAAUGAUGAGGAAGCUUUAACCUGAAAUGCCUUAUCUUCUAUUUUCACCGAAGAUCUGCUGUUCAUUCUUGCUUCAUGAGAUUGCAAUGACCCUUUUACAUCAUCAAAGGUCAGAGUAGACAAGUCCUUGGAUUCUUCUAUAGCAACAGCUACAUGGUCAAAUCUAGAAGUUAAACUCCUUAGAAGUUUCUCAACCACAGUUUGAUCAGUAAUUUUUUCACCAUAUGAUCUCAACUGAUUCACAAUUGUGGACACUCUAGACAUGAAACCUUGUAUCGUCUCAUCUUCGGUCAUCAAUAAAUUCUCAAAUUCACGGCGUAGUGUUUGAAGUUUGACCGUCAAGGAUUUAUUUCCUUGAUAUUCUUUCUGCAAUAUCUCCCAUGCUUCUUUGGAAGUAUUUGCUGCUGCAAUCCGUGAGAAAAUUGAAUCAUGAACAGCUUGUUGAAUGCUGAAUAAAGCUUUGUUAUCUUUUUUUCUGUUCUCUUUGAGUCUUGCUUCAUCAGCAUCAGUAGCUGCAAAACCUUUUUCAACUAAUUCCCAAACAUCUUGGGAUUUGAAGAGUGUCUUCAUUUUGAUGCUCCAAAACUCAUACUUUUCUCCAUCAAAAAUGGGUAUGAGUGGCUGUGUGGAAGAGGAGACGCCAUUUACAACCAUGACCUGAGUUCCUAUUGUAUUUCACUCCCUCACGUGUUUCUCUCUUUCACUCUAUUGAAACUCACACUAUCCAGACAAGAACCUGAACCAGGCUCUGAUACCACAAUGUUGGAUAAAAACAAGAACUUGAUAUCUGCAGUUGUAUCAAGCUAAACAAAGUGAAAGAAACUGAAACUGAAAUACAAUAAAUGAUAGAAAGAAAAUGAAGAAAACCACACUUUUGGAUGAUUAAACACAGAGAGUUGAAGGCUUAUUUAUAGCCAUACUCUAAACAAUAAUAGUAGAUAAAUAUGGCACUAACAGUAACAUGACUUGACCUUAACAAACUAUCAGAUAAAAUAGUAGAACUAAUAGCAAAUAUCUAAACUGAACAGAUUAUUAUUUGAAUCAAUCUUUAACAGAUAAUUCCAAUGAUGAUAUUUUCUCUUACAAAAUGACAAUCUAUUUUUAUAUGUUCAAUUCUUUCGUGAAAAACAGGAUUGUUGGAAAUAUGCAAAGUAGAUAUGUCAGCACAAAAUAGAGAGACAAGAUCUUUAUGAAAACAUAAAUGAGUUUAAAUGAAAAUGGAAAAUUAUUGUCACUUACUACCUGAUGAAAAGGAUAAAGAAAAUAACUCUGACAUAUGGAGCAAUCCUGACAGGAAGAGAAUCAAUAGCAAAGUGAGCCGAAUGGAGAAUAUAAAGCAGCAAAUGAAGUACAAAAACUAGUAGGCAAAAGACUUGAAAACACAUACCAAAAGACAAAAUUUGAUGAAGUAAGAUGAAAUAUUAUCACAGAAGUUUUCACUUCGAAAGGGAGAUGAAGCCAUGAUAUGGAAAAUGCAAAGACAGAUUUUGAUGCAAUGCAAUAGUCUAGAGGAGAACGAUUUUCGAUGCCAGCAAUCAAGAAGAAAUCAAUCAAAAUCAAUAAAUUCAUUUUGUUGGUGUAAGUGUCAGUGUUACUUGAACCACAAAAAUCAAUAGAAUUAAGCAGUCCAGGAGAAAGAAGAAACAAAAAUAAGACCAAAAGAAAGAUUUCAAGUGGACAGGCAGGAAUCACAAUUGAGUUUUAAGGUUAUUUUUGUUUUAGCAAUCCUUUAGUUAUUGUGCUUGCAGCUUGACAUGGAACAAAAUAAAUGAGGAUUGACAGCUUGAUAACAAAGUACAAAUUUAAUUCUGAUAGUUUGAUCAAAAUGAGUAUGACUAACAUACCACAAAAAACCUCAAAUAUACAUAAUUUUGCAAGCAAAAACAGUAAAAUUUCAAAAUUUUCACAAAAGCAUCAGUCUGUUUACAAACAAGCAUUCAUCACAUAUGGAGAAUUUAUGAUUGAAGACAUAACACUAACAACAUUAGCAUAGAGCCCAUUAGUAACAAAAUAGUAAUUUCAUUUCUAAAAGGGCCAGUCUCUACACCUUGUAUUUAGCAACCUCUUCACUCCCUUCCUUGAGAUCAUCCUUGGAGAAAUCUUGAUAAUUCAUUUUAUGCGAAUCUGGGUUAAAUUUGCCCUAAAGUUAAAGACAAGUUUGAUCGUUCAUAAUCAACAUAUUCAAGAUAGUGAUUUUUCCAAUUAUUACUAUAACAGCAAUGCCAAACAGAUCAACUAACAAAAUAGAAAAAUUCUAUUUCAGAAUCUAUAAUAACAUUAUAGCUUUUAAGGACCAAUUACUUGAACUGGCCAUCUAGCAUCGUAAGUAUACCAUGUUGUUCCAAGCUCUUGCAUAGUUCAUCUGUCAACAACUUUAAGCUCUCAACUAUGUCCACAUAUUUCUGAUCAAACAAAACAAAAGGAAAGAGUAAAUAUAUCACUUUGUUCAAAUUCUCUUACUGAAACCUUUAAGAAAAUAAGACAGCAAUUUUGGUUUCUAAUGCAUCAAUGUCCACUCUUAAUUCUUUAAUCUGAUUCACUCCCUCUGGAAAAAGAAAUUUUCAAGAACUUGCAUAACAAGGGAAGGGAACUUAAAAUGAAGCAUAUAGAUGUUAAAUUAUUAUAUAUAAAAUGGCAACUAAAUCAGCAGCACAAAGCAUAUUAUAGGUCAGAAUUUAUAUAUAAAAUUAUUAUAAUUUAAAUGUUAUAAUUCAAUUAUUUCAGCUCUGUUUAUAGCUAAUUUCUUCAAAUUUAGAAUCCUAGUACAAUUUAUAUGCUUUCUACUGAACCAUCUGCAACAAACUUUCAAGAUUAAAUACCUGAAAUUUUUAUGUCGGUUUAAGUUUUUCAAAUCAAGCCUAAAAUAUAUCCCGUCAAUGAACACAUCUAAUGCAAACCAACAAUGCCACAAAUAGUUACUGAACAAAACACUAGUUUCAACAGAACACCAAACACUAAAAUCCCCAAUUCCCAUAUAAUAAAAGAUUGAAAAAAAGAGAAUAACUGAAAUUGAGAAGCAAAAUCCGUGGAAACUGAUGAAUGCUGAUCAGCUUUAGCUAUUGCGUCCAUUUUUAUUGUGAUUUGUGGGAGCAGUCUAUUCUCUCACUGCUGACUUCUAAUAUAUUUUAAACCUAUUACCUUUUUCACGGCUAGCCGGUUAUAAGUGGCUAUCUGAACCAUAGUUAUUAAAUCGGGCGGACCAGACUGGUCAAUCCAGAUAACUGAUGAAUCAGUUUAAAAUCAGAGUUUUCCUUUCAAAGCAUUUAAAGAAUAGAAUCAGAUUGAAACGGCUGAUAUGGUUAAAUAGUUCGAUCUACACAAAUCCAAUUGAUUUAAACUGAUUUUUUAUAUUUUAAUUAUUUUUUAUAUAUUAUAAUUUUUUAAAUUAUAAUUAUUUAAUUAAAUAUAUAUUAUUAAUAUUUUUAUGAUCCAUUAUUCAACCAUUAAGCUAUCGGUUAAACCAUGAACCAUUCACCCAGUCCUUUAGCCGGGUCACAUCUGGACUGGAUUUAACAACACUGAUUUGGACUAAAGUGAAAUCACUGCUACCUGUAACUUCUUUCUACUUGACGGCGUCGCAGCGAGCAUCUCAUAUUUAAGUCUCACUUUUACAUACCUAAUUGAAAAACCCUAAGCCCUAUUUCCUUUUAUUCAUUUUCUCUUCCGUCGAAUACAGUAACGAGACAAGACAGAACUCGGCCCCAACUCCCAAGUCAUCUAGUCGCUCCCCUUCACACUCAAACGAAAGCAUUGAUAAAAUUUGGCUAUAUCUGCGUUUGGUGAGUAAGGAAUUUUCUUUGAUUUGUUUUCUGUUCUCAUUAAUUCAGUGGUUUUAAAAUCGAAUUCAUUGGUAUAAUAGUUCUUUGAUUCUUGCUCCCAAAUUUAUGAUUGUUUUGUUAUUCUCGGUUGAAGUUAUAAACUUGUGAUUCCAAUUGCACAGUAUGAAUCUGAGAGAUGGCCUUUUGGAUCAUAAAAUCAGAGUUGGUUUACAAUAUAGCUGUUGAUUAAUGAAAUUCGGUGUGCUGUUGCUUUCAGCUUUAUUUUGCUUGUGAGACUUUUAUUCGAAUCGCUUCCAUGAAUGUUUUGGUGAAGGAAUUCCUUGAAACUUUUGAAAGGAAAGGAUUUUUUUUCUUUGUUUUGUGUUGGGGGGUUCAGUUAGUAUAGCUCAGAUUUCGUACAGAAGUAGGGAUUAUAUUAGUCAGUUCUGGAAUGGUUUGGAUUUUGUGAAUGACAAAAGGUUGUCGGAUGGGGCAAUUUUUAUUCCCGUUGCUAUUCUAUUCCUAUCUUCUGUUUUUUAAUUAGAUAAUAGUAUUUUACAAAGAAAAUAGAGAAAAGAUCAUGGCUUGAAUUUACAUUGAUUAUUGUGAUUUUGCUGUUUCAUGUGUUGAGUUUCAUGCCAUGGAAUUUAUUCCUUCUUUUUAUAGUCUGUUAUCAUGUUCAUAUCGGACCUCUUUUUUCAUGGGUUUAUGCUGUUAGGAUUAUAUUGUUAAAACUUUUUAAAUGGCUUUUUUGAAUGAAUAUAUUACAUCAUAAAUCAAAUGUUUUGUUAUUCCAGAAUUUGGGUUAUCAAUCACAAUGCAGUCUGGUGAAGCCCCUUCUUCAAUGGAAGUAGAAAAGGUUAUAGAUGAAACAUCUUUGCCGGCAAAGCCAAAGUUUGAGCCUUUGAAGGCUCAUGAGAUGUCUGAUGGUCGAGUUCAAUUUAGGAAGGUUUCGGUUCCACCACAUAGGUAUUCNNNNNNNNNNNNNNNNNNCACUCCUGUAUAUGAGCAAAUGAAGAUUGAUAUCCGUAUGAACCUCAAGGGUAGAAAGGUUGAAUUAAAAACCAGAUCUGAUACACCAGAUGUUAGUAACCUGCAGAAAUGUGCAGAUUUUGUACAUGCCUUCAUGCUAGGCUUUGAUGUUAUAGAUGCUAUUGCACUACUGCGAUUGGAUGAACUAUAUGUGGACUCUUUCGAAAUCAAAGAUGUUAAACCCCUUAGAGGUGAGCACUUGUCUCGUGCCAUUGGAAGACUCU